GACGAACGCUGGCGGCGUGCUUAACACAUGCAAGUCGAACGGGCCCGCUCUCUUUUUUGGGGGUGGGUUGAGUGGCGAACGGGUGAGUAUCACGUGAGUAACCUGCCCCCUGCUCCUGGAUAACUGCUUGAAAGGGCGGCUAAUACGGGGUGUGCCGGCUGGUCCGCAUGGGCCUGGUCGGGAUAGUUUCAUCUUCGGGUGUUUCGGUGGGGGAUGGGCUCGCGGCCUAUCAGCUUGUUGGUGGGGUGAUGGCCCACCAAGGCGGUGACGGGUAGCCGGCCUGGGGGGGUGGGCGGCCACACUGGGACUGAGACACGGCGCGGAUACCUGCGGGAGGCAGCGGUGGGGGGUAUUGCACAAUGGGCGGAAGCCUGAUGCAGCGCCGUCGCGUGAGGGAUGGCGGCCUGCGGGUGGUGAACCUCUUUCGCAGGUGGGGAAGGCCCUGUCCGUUGCGGCGGGGUUGACGGUAGCCGGGUAUGAAGCGCCGGCUAACUACGUG
rnacentral:rRNA from 1 species